ACAUUGUAUUAUACCAUGUUGAAAUGACCGGUUCUCAUCGGAUCAAUGCAGUUAAGCAGCAUUGGGCAUGGUUAGUACUUGGAUGGGUGACAGCUUGGGAAAACCACGUGCUGUU
rnacentral:rRNA from 1 species